GACGAACGCUGGCGGCGUGCUUAACACAUGCAAGUCGAACGGAAAGGCCCUGCUUUUGUGGGGUGCUCGAGUGGCGAACGGGUGAGUAACACGUGAGUAACCUGCCCUUGACUUUGGGAUAACUUCAGGAAACUGGGGCUAAUACCGGAUAGGAGCUCCUGCUGCAUGGUGGGGGUUGGAAAGUUUCGGCGGUUGGGGAUGGACUCGCGGCUUAUCAGCUUGUUGGUGGGGUAGUGGCUUACCAAGGCUUUGACGGGUAGCCGGCCUGAGAGGGUGACCGGCAACAUUGGGAAUGAGAUACGGCGCAGACUGCAACGGGAGGCAGAAGUGGGGAAGAUUGCACAAUGGGCGGAAGCCUGAUGCAGAAACGCCGCGUGCGGGAUGACGGCCUUCGGGUUGUAAACCGCUUUAGCCUGUGAAGAAGAGUGAGUGAAGGUAAUGGGUAAAGAAGCACCGGCUAACUACGUG
rnacentral:rRNA from 1 species